rnacentral:rRNA from 1 species
GACGAACGCUGGCGGCGUGCUUAACACAUGCAAGUCGAACGGUGAAGCGCCUUCCUUUUUGGGGGGUGUGGAGGAGUGGCGAACGGGUGAGUAACACGUGAGUAACCUGCCCCCUGCUUCAGGAUAACCGCAUGAAAGUGUGGCUAAUACGGGAUAUUCUGGGUCUGUCGCAUGAUGGGUCUGGGAAAGAUAUUGUUUCGGUGGGGGAUGGGCUCGCGGCCUAUCAGCCGGUUGGUGGGGUGAUGGCCUACCAAGGCGGUGACGGGUAGCCGGCCUGAGAGGUUGGACGGUCACACUGGGACUGAGCCACGGCCCAGCCUCCUACGGGCGGCAGCUGUGGCGGAUAUUGCCCGAUGGGAGCAAUCCUGAUGCAGCGGCGCCGCGUGAGGGAUGGAGGCCUUCGGGUUGUGAACCUCUUUCGCUAGUGAAGCAGUCCUGCCUCGUUUGUGGGUGGGUUGACGGUAUCUGGAUAAGAAGCGCCGGCUACCUCCGU